GGCAAGUGCGAAAAUAACUUUCAUAGAUGUAGCCAUCUUGUUUCUGCCUCCAAUUUGGUAACUAAACUGAAACGUUGUUACUCGGGUGUGACGUCAUUCCCAGCUCCGACAUUUGACUUCUGAGGUAACUCGAACGCAGCAUUAAACCUCUCAGAAACUUUCAAUUUUUGAUGGUGCGAAUUAACGAGGGGGGACGCUCAUAGAGUUAACAUGACCCUGUUUGAAGACCCCAUACAUUUAUACAUAAUGCGACCUAAUAUGUGUUAACGCAACUAGCUUAGAAGAUUAUCAUGGUUAAGCUUUUGUUUUUUUGUUAGUAUAGCUAUAAAGUUACUUUGUCGGCACCUUUCUAAUUGUUAAGCAGCUUAUUUCAUGCUAACCUCGAUGCAAUGCCGUCCUUAAAUGUCUAUAUAACCUAUUAUAGAUAUAUAACAAUAGAUGCUUCUUCAGCUCUCUUUGAAGAAGAAAAAUGCUAGGUUUUCCAUGUUAGCUUAUCUUGUUUGUAGAUGCGCCGUUUGCUUUUUAGAUAUACAAAACCGGGCUGUUCAAGCUAAAUAGCUACAUGAUGACCGUACAUUCUCUUUUACCUGGACAUGUCCUCUUUCUUGGGGGCUGUCCGGGCUUGUCCAGCCUUGUCCUGGGGGAGUUUAUAAAAUCCCUUAAAUGUGCUGCGUUUUGUAUAUAAGUUUUGAUUUUGUGUCAUGUGGACUGACUAAGUUAGAAGCCCGUAAAAAACACUCGACCUGACCCAAAAAACUCAAAAUUAAUUAUGCAUGACUCUGUGACUCUGCCCUGCGUAGUAGUAUCCUCAGAAUAUGGUCACCCAACUACAUGAUUAUCUGUAAAGCCCAUUAGUGUUUAUUAAUAAUCAUAAAAAGUCAAUUUAUUAUCGCACUAGCGUAGCAGGGCUGCUCAGUCUUGGCCAUCACUGAAGUCUAGGUGUUUGUGUUAGUAUUGAAAAUGAAAUAACUGCUCAUGAGGUAUCACUGAAUUUCAAAGCAUUUGCUUUUGCGAGCGCCCGAUGAUUUCAUAACUUGUGGCCAAGGCUACAAAAAUAGACCCAUGUUGUAAUAAACUGUGAAUAUCCUUUCAGCAGCACUCUGCCUGGCCCUCGAGUAGCCUGACUGUUUUGGUUCACAAGCCAUUUAUAUGAAUAAAUUAAAUCUGUUUACCACUUCCCUGUGCCUUGACGGCUCAGCUGAGAGACUAUGCAAAGCUGCGAGGGUUCGUGAUCCAUUUGUUCUGCUGUGAUGGUGGGAUAAAGCUAAUCAUUGUCUACUCCUCUCCCCCUCAGACUGUUUUCAUCCUUCGGAGCAGAGGCGCACAGCUCGUCUCCGUUACAUUAACAGCUAGAAAACUCUCUUUGAAGAUGCAAGGUCGGGUUUUGGGGUGUCUGAAAUGAUGUUUAGAUUCCUAACUGUGCGAUUGUGACAGUUCAAAAAGCAAUCUUCUCUUACUUACUGGAGAUAAUGUUCUGCUUUAGUGUCUCUAUUCAACUUUGUUUAGCAUCUUCCAGUGGCACAGAUUUGUCAUCGAAUUAAAUCCGCCGCUCUUUUCAAGGUACACUUAUGUAACAUGAUCACGUAAUGAGACAAACACGGGACCCUGCCUGAUGGGAGACAAUCCUGUCCUCGGCGGGGUGCCGCACAGAAACAAAGCUUUAAAAGUGGUGAUACAGGGGGGGAAGAAAAACAUUGUUUUACCCCUCGAGGUGGGCUGAUAGCGCUGUGAAAAGCCCAUUUGAAGUGGUAGGCCUCAUCUGUCAGUGGGCAAUGGAGGAGGCAGCCAUGCAGAAGCCCCCUGAUUAUAAAGAGAUAAUUUCAUCCAAUCCUCCGGUGGUGCUCCAUCACCUUGCCGCCAUCCUCCACUGCCUUUCAUAUUUGUUCCCGGCCUGCAUCUCCUCACCCGUUUCGUUUUAUUACAGCUCCCACUCAAUACAUAUAUUUUAGCUCCCCUUUGAAUAGGUAAAAAGAAGAAGCGGGUCUCCCUCCUCCUCCUCCUCGCCUCCCCUCCUCUUAUGUGUCUUUUGUUGUGCAGGAAUCCACAGCCCUCAACUUGUUGUGUAACGCCUGCUGGUAAUUGAGCAUAUUAAGCUUGAGUAACGCGCCUAUCAGCGCAGUUUCUUCCCAGGUUUCCGGGAGUAACUCGCUGAUUCAAGGCAAAUAAGUUCACAUUAGGUAAUGACUCAGGGAAAAUAAUGAAUGAUAACAUCUGCAAGAUAGAAAAGAAGCAUGUAAAUAGCGGGGAGGGCUCAUAAUUGCAUUUGUUGUCAUAUCUCCCAAGCAUCACGGGUUUUAAUCUUUAAUUUGGCUCUUGUUAGUCAUUAAAGAUAUAACAAAAGACGAGUGUUUAAUUAGAACAAGUGAAUAUAGGGAAAUUAAAUUACUCCCCUGCACUGACAUGUCAUAUCUCAAGAGGCGAAUAAAUGUAAAUGACAAAGUUUUUGCGGUGCUCGGAGAUCAGGAGUAUCAUUACAGCAAAGGCUGAAGAGAAAAAGCAUGGGUGGUGAAUGGCAGCUUCAUUUUAACUCACUGCUUGAGAGAAAGCGUGGAGGGGGAGAGAGAGAGAGUGAAGGGAAGGGCAGGGAGGGAAGAGAGACAGCAAGAGGGAGAGCAGGUCGACUGGCUCAUCAAUAACCACAAGGUCAGACAGGCAGUGGCGGGCUGAGUGGGCCCUGUUAGGAAGCAGCAGCUGAGGAUUUGUAGAGCUUGUAAAGGCUUAAAGCAACACCGCUCCGCCUUCUUUGUGCCACUCGCCAGGCCUUUGAAGGGCCAGGGAGACACCUGCUGGUGGCUGAGGGACACAAUGCUUUCACAGGACGAGGAUCAGUGCAGUAUCGGCUGGCACAGAGAGGGGACUGAUGGGAGUGUCAUGGCAGCUAACAGCAGAGGGGUGUAAAGAGACUCAGCGUAGAUGAGUGCACAUGAUAGAUCAGGGUUAAACUGUGUUUUUAGUGAAAAUACUGACGAUUUGUUGGUGAUUUUGGCUAAAUGUAGCAUCUUUAUUAUGAUUUACAUUUUUGGAAAGUUUGAAUAAAAUCCAUUUUACAGCAUUUAUUUGAUUCCACAACCAAUUGCUUUAAAUAUAGAUUUAGAAAUUGUUUUAAAAAGCAAAUUCUUUGGAUUUUAAAGUGAUUAAAAAUGUGAGUUAUUGGAUUAACUCGUGAAAUUUUGUGAUAAAAUAAAAUUUACAAAAUCAAUUUCUCAAUCAUAAUCCCUCUGUCAUUACUAUUUAUAGAAAAUUUGUGUUAAUAUUAUUCUGUUACUCCAUUUACCUGAAAGUUUCUGCCCUCAAGUCUCUGAGGUUUCCAUGUUAAGAGCCCAGACAUCUCUCACAUCUCCAAACAUGCGUCUUUUUGCAUCUUCAUCAAAUACAUACUGUACAUCUGCAAAACCGAGUCAGAUGAAGGGAAAACACCUUUGAUGUCUCUUUUCCUUAAUGUAUAUGAGUGCAUAGAACAGAUCAGGGUUAAACUCUGUUUUUAUUGAAAAAAAUGAUGAUUUAUUGGUGGUUUCUGCAUCUUUAUUAUGCUUCACAUUUAAAAAACUCAUUUUAUUGCAUUUAUUUGAUUCCCCAACCAAGACAUCAGUAGGAAUUGCUUUACUCAUAGAUUUAGAAAUAGUUUUAAAAAGCAAAUUCUGUUGAUUUUAAAGUUAUUAAAAUGUGAGUUACUGGAUUAACUCUUAAAAUUUAGUGAUAUGAUCAAAUUUACAAACUCAAUCUCUCAAUAUCAUCUCUCUGUCAUAAGUGCUUUAAAUAAUUUAUAUAAAAUUAGUGUUAAUAUUAUUCUAUAACAACAUCUACCUACAAGUUUCUGCCCCAAAGCCUCUGAGGUGACAUCUCUAACAUCUCCAAACAUGUGUCUAUUUGCAUCUUCAUUACAAACACACUGUACAUCUGCGAAACCGAGUCAGAUGAAGGGAAAACUCCUCCGAUGUCUCUUUUUCCUUUACGAGCUUUCUAAUUUAUGGAGAGGAAUGCACUCGUGUGCCCUUCUCUCCUCUCAAGCACAGGCAUGAGCAGCUCUGUUAGGUAGCAUAAAAGCUCUUUAGCUGUCUAGUGGAGUAGAUUACCGGCCCUGCCGUUAAAUCCAGCCAGAGACCCCUAAGUGAGCAUUAUCAGUGUGGUGCAGCAUACUGCCUCCUCUUUCUUUCUUUUUUCACUCUCUCUCUCUCACUCUCUCUCUUCGUCAUCUCACCGCCACUUUGUGCAGAGAAAUUUCUCUCUCUGUGUGUGAUGGUAAUGGAGAGAGAUGGAGUUGAGGGGGGGAAGGCUAUGAGUGAUGGAGAGGGGGCAAGUGUUUGAGUGAGAGCGCGAUGCACGGCAAGUGCAAAAAAAAAGAAAGACGGAGACAGGAUGAGAUAAAGGGGACAUCAUGGGAGGGAAAAUGGUUAAAGGGGGGAUGGGUACACUUUCCUCAUCACCCAUAUUCGUGCCUACUACUAACUCACCCAUCCAUCUAUUUGCAGCUGCAGGUCAGUAUGAUUUACAGCCGACAAGCCAUGUGUGAUAUUUAUUUGACGUUGAACGCAACAUUAAAUCAAACCCCCACGGGCAGGAUUGAUAAGCUGUAAUGCAGCUUGUAAUACUUUCUAACUUGUGAUAAUGCUACGUAGCAUGUCGGAUCACCUCUCUAUUGUUUGCCUAACGUGAAAAAUUAUUCCCCUGGAAAAGAGCGAGACAUCGAGCGAGAGAGAAAGAGAGAGAUCAGAGAAAGAGGUUUUCCAUAAGCGGCUGCUCCAGAAUCAAUAGUCAGCUGUAAGGGGGUUUUGUUAGAGGAACUCUUAUGUGUCAAAGAGGAGGGGGAAGGGGGAGAAAUGAAAUGUAGAGCAUGUCUGGGCCAAGAGCACACAUAAUUGUUAACCAAAGAUUACAUAAUGGCUAAGUAAUGUAAACAGAGCGCCACAUGCCAAGUAAAUGUUCUCACAGGCCGGCACAGAGGGGCGUCAUGCAGUUUUUCUUACACACUCUACAUUGAGGGUGUGUGUGUGCGUUCAUUUUCACCCUGAGGUGCCUCAAACAUGGUCAGACAUCCUCCUCUUAAGUCAUCCUGUGAGCGUUCAGGGCAACCACCAGGGCUUGUUGAUGGUGUCACAGUGGCUGAGAGCGAUGUCAUCCUCUGGGCUCUCGGAGGUGCUUGUCACCUGCCAAAUCAAUAUCCUCCUCUG